rnacentral:rRNA from 1 species
ACGAACGCUGGCGGCGUGGAUUAGGCAUGCAAGUCGAACGAGAAAGACAUCUUCGGAUGUUGAGUACAGUGGCAAACGGGUGAGUAACGCGUGGGAAACCUGCCCUUCGGUUGGGGACAACACUUCUAACGAGGUGCUAAUACCGAAUAUUAUCAUAGCGUCGCAUGGCGCAUUGAUGAAAGGCGGCCUCUGCUUGCAAGCUGUCACCGAAGGAUGGUCCCGCGUCCCAUUAGCUAGUUGGUGAGGUAACGGCUCACCAAGGCGGUGAUGGGUAGCCGGCCUUAGCGGGUGACCGGCCACACUGGGACUGAGAUACGGCCCAGACUCCUACGGGAGGCAGCAGUCGAGAGGCUUCCACAAUGGGGGAAACCCUGAUGGAGCGACGCCGCGUGGGUGACGAAGGUCUUCGGAUCGUAAAGCCCUUUCGACAGGGAAGAACGGCAUGGGGGUUAAUAGCUCCCGAGCAAGGACUGUACCUGUAUAAGAAGCUCCGGCUAACUACGUGCCAGCAGCCGCGGUAAAACGUAGGAGGCGAGCGUUAUCCGGAUUUACUGGGUGUAAAGCGCGUGCAGGCGGUCUGGUAAGUCGAGCGUGAAAGCUCCCGGCUCAACCGGGAGAGGACGUGCGAAACUGCGAGGCUAGAGACAGGUAGAGGCGUACGGAAUUCCGGGUGUAGUGGUGAAAUGCGUAGAUAUCCGGAGGAACACCAGUGGCGAAGGCGGUACGCUGGGCCUGGUCUGACGCCAAGACGCGAAAGCAUGGGGAGCGAACGGGAUUAGAAACCCCGGUAGUCCAUGCCGUAAACGAUGCUAACUAGGUGUUGCGGGUAAAAGACCGGCAGUGCCGGAGUUAACGCGAUAAGUUAGCCACCUGGGGACUAC